CCUACGGGAUGCUGCAGUGGGGAAUAUUGGACAAUGGGCGAAAGCCUGAUCCAGCCAUGCCGCGUGUGUGAAGAAGGCCUUCGGGUUGUAAAUCACUUUCAGUGGGGAAGAAAGCCUUGGGGCUAAUACCCUCGAGGAAGGACAUCACCCACAGAAGAAGCACCGGCUAACUCCGUGCCAGCAGCCGCGGUAAUACGGAGGGUGCGAGCGUUAAUCGGAAUUACUGGGCGUAAAGCGCGCGUAGGCGGUCUGAUAAGCCGGUUGUGAAAGCCCCGGGCUCAACCUGGGAACGGCAUCCGGAACUGUCAGGCUAGAGUGCAGGAGAGGAAGGUAGAAUUCCCGGUGUAGCGGUGAAAUGCGUAGAGAUCGGGAGGAAUACCAGUGGCGAAGGCGGCCUUCUGGACUGACACUGACGCUGAGGUGCGAAAGCGUGGGUAGCAAACAGGAUUAGAUACCCUUGUAGUC
rnacentral:rRNA from 1 species